rnacentral:rRNA from 1 species
AUACGGAGGGUGCAAGCGUUGUCCGGAUUUAUUGGGUUUAAAGGGUGCGUAGGUGGCCUGGUAAGUCAGUGGUGAAAUACAGCCGCUCAACGGUUGAGGUGCCAUUGAUACUGCCCGGCUUGAAGCAGACAGAGGCUGCCGGAAUGGAUGGUGUAGCGGUGAAAUGCAUAGAUAUCAUCCAGAACACCGAUUGCGAAGGCAGGUGGCUAUGUCUGACUUGACACUGAGGCACGAAAGCAUGGGGAGC